UACGGAGGGUGCAAGCAUUAAUCGGAUUGAUUGGGCGUAAAGGGCGCGUAGGCGGGGAUUUAAGUCAGAUGUGAAAUCCCGAGGCUCAACCUCGGAACUGCAUUUGAAACUGGAUUUCUAGAGGAUAGGCGGAGAAAACGGAAUUCCACAAGUAGCGGUGAAAUGCGUAGAUAUGUGGAAGAACACCUGUGGCGAAAGCGGUUUUCUAGCUUAGACCUGACGCUGAGGCGCGAAAGCAAGGGGAGCAAAC
rnacentral:rRNA from 1 species